rnacentral:lncRNA from 1 species
AAGGGCUCCUUGAGACCCAUGUUGAUGUUCCAGUCAAACUCCAGUAGCCUCACUGCGAGCAGUACUGUCACCUCAGGUCAAAGGACCAGUCAUACAAUUGUAGCAUCGAAAAAUUCACUAACGAGUGAGCAGACAUCCAUAUGACUUCUCGUGUUGGUCACAUUUAGUGCUAGUUGUUCUCUAACAACCACCUACACUCUCGUUUCAGUGUCUCUAUACUGC